rnacentral:rRNA from 1 species
GAAAACCAACGUAAGAUGCAUUGGUUCGCUUGGUGGAAGAUGUGCAUUCCCAAGGAUAGAGGGGGUAUGGGCUUUCGCGACGUUCAUAGCUUUAAUUUGGCACUCCUAGCAAAACAGGUUUGGAGGCUUAUUGAGCAUCAUGACUCCUUGUGGGCAAGGGUGCUCCGUUCUAAAUACUACCCAACGGGAGAAUUGCUAAAUUGUGAACUCAAGAAGGGGGCCUCUUUCAUUUGGCAAAGCAUAUGGGCUGGA